rnacentral:misc_RNA from 1 species
AAGUCGUAACAAGGUUUCCGUAGGUGAACCUGCGGAAGGAUCAUUAAUGAAAUGUAAGGUAUGCUCUUUUUUAAGAGGUCCGACCCAAAUCAUUUUCCUUUCUAGCACUGUGCAUCACACUACACUUUUUACACCGUUUUUAAUCUCUUCAGUUUUAAGAAUGUAUAACAGUCUCUUUAUUGAGCAUUAAAUAAAAUAAAA